rnacentral:lncRNA from 13 species
UCUAAUUUAUAGUCUGAUACAAGUUUUAGUUUUAAUAUUUAUACUUGUACUAAGCGUACACCUUUUCUUCUCUAUUAGCGUGGUAAAAGAGGAAAUAGUAGAUGACGAUGCUCAUCUGCCAUGCUUCAAUGGUCGAGUUGUCUCUUGGUUGGUAUCCGCCGAAGGUAGCAACGUCUCGGACGGUGCGUCUCAAUGUACAGACUCUAUGGCACAUAGCGAAGCGAAACAUGACCGCGUAGAUCAUGCGACCCCUGGACAUGGUAAUAGAGGAAACGCUCCACUUUCUCACGAUGAUACGUUGACGGAAACGGAAAGUAUUAUAAGUAGUCGACAAGGUCAUCAUUUACAUAAAAGCUCGAGGCAUCAUUCGGAAAA